UCAAACGAGGUCCAAGGAAGCUUGCUUCCUGACGACCUAGUGGCGAACGGGUGAGUAACACGUGAGAAACCUGCCUCGGAGUGGGGAAUAACUCGGGGAAACUCGAGCUAAUACCGCAUAUCUUCGCAUGAUCGCAUGGUCGAGUGAAGAAAGAAUUUCGCUCUGAGAGGGUCUCGCGGCCUAUCAGCUUGUUGGUGGGGUAACGGCCCACCAAGGCAACGACGGGUAGCUGGUUUGAGAGAACGAUCAGCCACACUGGGACUGAGACACGGCCCAGACUCCUACGGGAGGCAGCAGUGGGGAAUCUUGCGCAAUGGGCGAAAGCCUGACGCAGCAACGCCGCGUGCGGGAUGACGGCCUUCGUGGUUGUAAACCGCUUUCAGCAGGGACGAAAAUGACGGUACCUGCAGAAGAAGCCCCGGCUAACUACGUGCCAGCAGCCGGGGUAAUACAAU
rnacentral:rRNA from 1 species